rnacentral:rRNA from 1 species
GCUACUGCCAUCAGAGUUCGAUUUAGCCAUGUUAGUCGAGGGUGCUUCUUCUUCGGAAGAAGUAACCCGGCGGACGGCUCAGUAACACGUGGAUAACUUGCCCUUGGGUCUGGGAUAACCCCUGAGAAAUUGGGGACAAUACCAGAUAGGGCAUCGAUAGCUGGAAUGCGCGAUGUCCAAAAGCUGAGGCGCCCAAGGAUAGGUCUGCGGCCGAUUAGGUUGUUGUUGAUGUAAUGGAUCAACAAGCCUGCAAUCGGUACGGGUUGUGAGAGCAAGAGCCCGGAGAUGGGUUCUGAGAAAAGAACCCAGGUCCUACGGGACGCAUCAGGCGCGAAAACUUUACAAUGUGCGAAAGCACGAUAAGGGAACUCUGAGUGCCUCCUAUGGAGGCUGUUCAGGUGUCUAAAAAGCACUUGAAGUAAGGGCUGGGUAAGACCGGUGCCAGCCGCCGCGGUAACACCGGCAGCCCAAGUGGUAGCCACGAUUAUUGGGUCCAAAGCGUCCGUAGCCGGCCAGGUAAGUUCUCUGGGAAAUUUAACCGCUCAACGGUUAAGCUUUCAGGGAAUACUGCUUGGCUUGGGACCGGGAGAGGUCAGAGGUACUUCAAGGGUAGGGGUGAAAUCCGUUAAUCCUUGAGGGACCACCAGUAGCGAAGGCGUCUGACCAGACCGGGUCCGACGGUGAGGGACGAAGGCUAGGGUCGCGAACCGGAUUAGAUACCCGGGUAGUCCUAGCUGUAAACGAUGCGGGCCAGGUUGUUGGGCAUUACUGCGAGUGAUGUCAGUGCCGAAG